rnacentral:rRNA from 1 species
AACGAACGCUGGCGGCGUGCCUAACACAUGCAAGUCGAACGAGAAAGGGGCUUCGGCUCCGAGUAAAGUGGCGCACGGGUGAGUAACACGUAGGUAACCUGCCUCUAAGAUUGGGAUAACUCGUCGAAAGAUGAGCUAAUACCGAAUAAGACCACAGUUCCCGCGGGAACAGGGGUCAAAGGUAGCCUCUGCUUGCAAGCUAUCACUUAGAGAUGGGCCUGCGCACCAUUAGCUAGUUGGUAGGGUAACGGCCUACCAAGGCAAAGAUGGUUAGCUGGUCUGAGAGGAUGAUCAGCCACACUGGAACUGAGACACGGUCCAGACUCCUACGGGAGGCAGCAGUGGGGAAUAUUGCGCAAUGGGCGAAAGCUUGACGCAGCAACGCCGCGUGAGUGAUGAAGGCCUUCGGGUCGUAAAGCUCUGUCGGGAGGAACGAAUGCUCCUGAGGUUAACAGCCUCGGGAGGUGACGGUACCUUCAAAGGAAGCACCGGCUAACUCUGUG